ACGGCUCAGUAACACGUGGAUAACCUGCCCUUGGGUCCGGCAUAACCCCGGGAAACUGGGGAUAAUUCCGGAUAACGCACAUAUGCUGGAAUGCUUUCUGCGUAAAAUGGAUUCGUCUGCCCAAGGAUGGGUCUGCGGCCUAUCAGGUAGUAGUGGGUGUAAUGUACCUACUAGCCUACGACGGGUACGGGUUGUGAGAGCAAGAGCCCGGAGAUGGAUUCUGAGACAUGAAUCCAGGCCCUACGGGGCGCAGCAGGCGCGAAAACUUUACAAUGCGGGAAACCGUGAUAAGGGGACACCGAGUGCCAGCGUCAUACGCUGGCUGUCCAGGUGUGUAAAAUACACCUGUUAGCAAGGGCCGGGCAAGACCGGUGCCAGCCGCCGCGGUAACACCGGCGGCCCGAGUGGUGAUCGUGAUUAUUGGGUCUAAAGGGUCCGUAGCCGGUUUGGUCAGUCCUCCGGGAAAUCUGACAGCUCAACUGUUAGGCUUUCGGAGGAUACUGCCAGACUUGGAACCGGGAGAGGUAAGAGGUACUACAGGGGUAGGAGUGAAAUCUUGUAAUCCCUGUGGGACCACCUGUGGCGAAGGCGUCUUACCAGAACGGGUUCGACGGUGAGGGACGAAAGCUGGGGGCACGAACCGGAUUAGAUACCCGGGUAGUCCCAGCCGUAAACGAUGCUCGCUAGGUGUCAGGCAUGGCGCGACCGUGUCUGGUGCCGCAGGGAAGCCGUGAAGCGAGCCACCUGGGAAGUACGGCCGCAAGGCUGAAACUUAAAGGAAUUGGCGGGGGAGCAC
rnacentral:rRNA from 1 species